GAUGAACGCUAGCUACAGGCUUAACACAUGCAAGUCGAGGGGCAGCAUGACCUAGCAAUAGGUUGAUGGCGACCGGCGCACGGGUGAGUAACACGUAUCCAACCUGCCGAUUAUUCCGGGAUAGCCUUUCGAAAGAAAGAUUAAUACUGGAUAGCAUAACGAGAAGGCAUCUUCUUGUUAUUAAAGAAUUUCGAUAAUCGAUGGGGAUGCGUUCCAUUAGUUUGUUGGCGGGGUAACGGCCCACCAAGACAUCGAUGGAUAGGGGUUCUGAGAGGAAGGUCCCCCACAUUGGAACUGAGACACGGUCCAAACUCCUACGGGAGGCAGCAGUGAGGAAUAUUGGUCAAUGGACGAGAGUCUGAACCAGCCAAGUAGCGUGAAGGAUGACUGCCCUAUGGGUUGUAAACUUCUUUUAUAUGGGAAUAAAGUGGGUCACGUGUGGCUUUUUGUAUGUACCAUACGAAUAAGGAUCGGCUAACUCCGUG
rnacentral:rRNA from 1 species